CCAGGGAAUAGGCGCAGAAUCAAUGGCAAGCCGAGUCGACAGGUGACUUCACACAUCAAAUCGAAUCAAUGGUGUUUUUCUACUAGCACAUCAGUGCAAAAAAAUGACAAUUGAUAGCCUCUCCUUUAGCUAUCAUACCAUGUGUUGUGUCACUAAGUUACGAUCUCAGCUGCGGUCUACAUAUUUUCAGAUUAAUGAAGCUUAUAGCCCUCCAAUGCAGUAUAUGUAUGCUUUACAAAACUAUCCGAGUAUUGCAAAAUUGCAUGAUACAUCAAAUUGGAGCGUAGCCUACAUACUUAUGGACUGUGGACUUAUGUUGCUUAUUUAGAGGCUGUCGUACAUGGAUCAGAUAUGAUAUUGAUUGCAGAAAUUUCUAUACGACUCUUGUGGAUUUCAACAUUGUUCUUCUCCCUAAUUUAGGAAAACUACAAGUAUUUGGUGCACGAUCUAAAAUAGCUGCAGGCUAAUCCUCCCCUAAUGUUCAUAAUGUUCUGUGGUACACAAUAUGGGUAAAGGAGAGCACAUUGCUCUAAUGUUUUUGCAUAUGAUAUUAAAUCAGACAUUUCAGUGGAUAAUAUAUGGUAUUGACUUGGACAUUGGUGUUGUGGAACAAUCUAGCAGGUAUUGGAUCUUAUAGAAUUAUAGAGUUGGCAGGGUCUGAAAAUCAUGGUGUUGGUGUUUCAGCCUAUUAAUCUGUAGAUAAAGAAAUUCCGUACAUCUCUACAAAUAAUCCUGAAGAAAGUUCUACUAUUGCGAACGCUCCAACUGAACAAGAAAUAUGAUUUUUUUUUAAUUGAAGAAGAAGCCAGUUUCUCUAGAAGGAAUACAGAAUAAUAUUUUGGAUUAUUUACUUGAGGUCUCAGAUUCAUCGCAUCAACCGUGAGGGGUAGUAUGCAAGGAUCAACCGAUGUGGAUAACAAAAUCUGGGUGCGAGCUUCCGGGAAAUCUAAUUGGGUCUAUGCAAACAAGCAGAUUUGGAAGAUAAUCCCUGUACAUGUUGAUUUGGCAAAUCUUUGACAGUAGCUGUGGGUCUUAUACUGAUGACAAUCAACGUGUCUUUUCCGACCAACCAGGGGUCGAUUCCAACAUAUGUUUUUCUCUUAUAUAAGGGCAGUGACUUCACUACGUUAGGCUGGAUGAUUCGAUGUGUAGUAGCUUCAUCAAACUGGAUGCUAGCAAAGUGAUAAAAUUUUGGAUGUUUUCAGAAAUAUAGCAUCACGAGCCCAAUAAGAGAAAAAAAAUCAAACAUCAUUAUGAAUGCCUUAGGAUAAUGAUUUUACCUUGCGGUUAUACUCUGCAUUGCAUGCCUGGAGAGCUAUUGCUUUCAGAUCCAAUUUACAGUCCAGGUUGACCGUCGACACAGUAUUCUUGCCAUCAGAUCAGGCACUAGAAAGCAUAGUACACCCAGGAGAAAUCAAACCAGGAAAUAGCUCUGGCUCAUACUGUCAAGCAACCAUAUAAAAAACAUCAGUUCCAAAACAAGGAAAGAGACAAGUUCUGGGAAAGAAUGAGAAAAUAUCAUACAUGAUAAAAUAGUGCUGACGGAACAGAAUUCACAUCCUAACCUGGUCGCAUGAUUCAAAGUUAGAUUUUGGCCCAGAAGAGGUGACAAGCGCCGACAUGCCAUGACGCUUGAAGAGGUGACAAAUCUGUGCC